AAAAUAAUAAGGGCUUUAUCAUUGCCUUUUCUCUGGUCUGAAUUUUUAAAGCUUACUUUAAAAAUUAAAACUUACUUUAAAACAGAUUUCUACUGAAUUGCUGAAAAUGAUGUAGUCUUCUAAAGGAAAACGUGAACACGCUUGAGCAGCAGAACACAAAUGACAAAAAUAUGAAGAAAGUUGUGGCCGUGCCUCCAAGAAUGAGCUGAGGGUGC
rnacentral:lncRNA from 1 species